ACUAACAUUAAAGGGGAAUUCAGCAGAUGCAAUGGGCCAUGCCUAUAGUCCCAGGAGUUCUGGGCUGUAGAGCAUUGUGCUGAUCAGAUGUCCAAACUAAAUUCAGCAUCAACAUGGUGACCUUGUGGGGAGCUGGAGGACCACCAGGUUGCCUCAGGAGGCAUGAAGUGGUCCAGGUUGCAAUUGGAGCAGAAUAAAACUCCCAUACUGAUCAAUAGUGAGAUCAUGCUUGUGGAUAGCAACUGCAUUCAAAUCCUGGAAGCAUAGCAAGACCUCAUUACU
ensembl:misc_RNA Metazoa_SRP Metazoan signal recognition particle RNA